UACAGAGGUCUCAAGCGUUGUUCGGAUUCAUUGGGCGUAAAGGGUGCGUAGGUGGCGCUGUAAGUCGGGUGUGAAAUUUCGGAGCUUAACUCCGAAACUGCAUUCGAUACUGCGGUGCUUGAGGACUGGAGAGGAGACUGGAAUUCAUGGUGUAGCAGUGAAAUGCGUAGAGAUCGGGAGGAACACCAGUGGCGAAGGCGACUACCUGGCCUGUUCUUGACGCUGAGGCGCGAAAGCUAGGGGAGCAAACGGG
rnacentral:rRNA from 1 species